GGCCACCUCCAAAAUUUUCUUUUUUCCUCCCUUUUCUUCUACUCUUCUUCCAAUCCCUAAUCUAUUCUUUCUACCAAACAGGUUUCUAACAGCAGCAUAAAUCUCUCUCGAAUCCUUUCUUCUUCGUCGAAAUCGAAAUCCAGUUUCAUCUCCAUCAAUUUCACACCCUAAAUCUCCAUUAAUCUUUACUCAAUUUCGACUUUAUUCUUCUUCUUUCUCUGUUUAUCAUCUACCGCUGGUUUGAGAAACAAAUCCGAGGGUCUCGAGAUUCAGAAAAGAGGAGUUUGGCUAAGGAGUGAGAGUGACGGUGGUGGUAUCGUUUUAGUAAACGACUCAAACUCAGGUAAGGUGGAUCAAGCAAACGAUAUUAGGGUUUCUCUUAGAAUCAAAGAAAUCGAUGACGGUGAUGAAGAAUUUGAUCGUGGUGGUGUUUCUGGUAGGAGGUUUGAAUAGGAAUUGUGAAGGAGAAAGUGAUGCAGAUGUGAAUUGAGAAUUAGGUUUUUUUUAAAGAUGAAGAAAUCAAGAGAAGGUUGAGAUCGAGAGAAGAGGAUAAGUAUUAAGGAAGAGUUGAUGGUGGUAUUGGUUGAUUUGGUGAUUUCAAAUUCAACAGAGAAGGUGGUUUUGGGUUGAGAAUGAGAUUACAGUUAUGCUUUGUUGUUGCGAGUAGUAACGGGUUAGGUUUAUGCUGAUCCUUGAGUGGAUUUGAGUUGAAUUACAGAGGGAGGAGAUGAAUUAGAUAAGUGGUUCACUUAAGUGACUGAUGUUUGGGUAGUGUUUAAUUUUUGAUGCUGAACUGCAGAUAAGAAGAGUAUGAAUGAGAUAUUGGAGUUGAUGGUGUUGAAACUAAACUUGGUUGUCCUAUACAGUACAGGGAGGAGGCCUGAAAUGCAUAUCAAGGUGACAAUGAAGUUGUUUGUGUUGGUGGUAAUGUUUAUGUACAACUUAGACCGAAUAGACCGAACCAUAAUGGUGAGUGAUUGCAUUGAUGGUGGAAAUUGGCAGUUAACCGAUGAUUGUCGUGACACACUUAUAGCUGCAGGUUUUCGAGAAACAUAUCUCCCCAUUCCUCUUGGUGGUUUAAAUAUUUGCAUUUGGAAGCCUAGUUUGGAGGGUUUGUUUACUGUCAGCUCUGCCAAGGAGCUAAUCCACAAGAAGUAUGUGAAGUUUGAUGGAGCUCAGCUGAUAUGGAGACCUACAAUGCAUCCUUCCCUUGCUGAUCGCAACUGGAAGAUCAUGAGAGGGGCCUGCGCUACUUUGGAUAAGAAAGCUUGGUCUUGGUUAGCAGAUAUUUUCGAUUUACAACCUCAUUCAAAUCUGGUGAGAGCUUACGCUGCAGCCAAAAAUUCUAGCCGUAUGGUUAAGGAUUUAUAGCAUCUUUCACAUUUGGUGGUAAGGUCUGAAAUCUUAUGCCUUUGCUUAAAGAAA